UACGUAGGGGGCAAGCGUUGUCCGGAAUCAUUGGGCGUAAAGAGCGUGUAGGCGGCCAGGUAGGUCCGUUGUGAAAACUCGAGGCUCAACCUCGAGACGUCGAUGGAAACCAUCUGGCUAGAGUCCGGAAGAGGAGAGUGGAAUUCCUGGUGUAGCGGUGAAAUGCGCAGAUAUCAGGAAGAACACCGAUUGCGAAGGCAGCUCGCUGGGACGUCACUGACGCUGAGACGCGAAAGCGUGGGGAGCAAACAGG
rnacentral:rRNA from 1 species